rnacentral:rRNA from 1 species
AUGAACGCUGGCGGCGUGCCUCAUACAUGCCAGUCGCGCGAACAGACGAGGAGCUUGCUCCUCUGACGUUAGCGGCGGACGGGUGAGUAACACGUGGAUAACCUACCUAUAAGACUGGGAUAACUUCGGGAAACCGGAGCUAAUACCGGAUAAUAUAUUGAACCGCAUGGUUCAAUAGUGAAAGACGGUUUUGCUGUCACUUAUAGAUGGAUCCGCGCCGCAUUAGCUAGUUGGUAAGGUAACGGCUUACCAAGGCAACGAUGCGUAGCCGACCUGAGAGGGUGAUCGGCCACACUGGAACUGAGACACGGUCCAGACUCCUACGGGAGGCAGCAGUAGGGAAUCUUCCGCAAUGGGCGAAAGCCUGACGGAGCAACGCCGCGUGAGUGAUGAAGGUCUUCGGAUCGUAAAACUCUGUUAUUAGGGAAGAACAAAUGUGUAAGUAACUAUGCACGUCUUGACGGUACCUAAUCAGAAAGCCACGGCUAACUACGUG